GCUCUCUUUGGCAGCACAUACACUAAAAAAUUGGAGCAAUACAGAGAAGAUUAGCAUGGCCCCUGCGCAAGGAUGACACACAAAUUUGUGAAGCGUUCCAUAUUUUA